UUGGCCAGCCAGGUGUUGUAGACUGUGGUGUCAGUGCACCCCAGCCUGGGUGCAAUGGUCCUCAGCUCCACAUGAGUUCUACUAUGUGGUACAUCAUGCAAUCUAUUCAGAGUAAAUAUUCCCUGUACGAGCGGCUCAUCCGCACCAUCGCUGCAAUUCGCUCUUUCCAACACAACAAUGUGGAGGAUCUCAUUCGAAGUCUCUUGCACUGUGUCUGUAUGGUGGCAUGGUGGCUGAUGCAGACUGUGUCGAGCUGUUGUUGGAGAAAAGAGCAGAGGCCUCUGAAAAUCUAACCUGCUCCUCCCACUUGGAUGCCUCCUCGGAAUUACAGCACAUAAUAGUGAAUGUAUUAUCUGUG